GAUGAAGAACGCAGUGAAAUGCGAUAAGUAAUGCGAAUUGCAGAAUUCCGUGAGUCAUCGAAUCUUUGAACGCACAUUGCGCCCUUUGGUAUUCCAAAGGGCAUGCCUGUUCGAGCGUCAUUUGUACCCUCAAGCUUUGCUUGGUGUUGGGCGUCUUGUCUCUAGCUUUGCUGGAGACUCGCCUUAAAGUAAUUGGCAGCCGGCCUACUGGUUUCGGAGCGCAGCACAAGUCGCACUCUCUAUCAGCAAAGGUCUAGCAUCCAUUAAGCCUUUUUUUCAACUUUUGACCUCGGAUCAGGUAGGGAUACCCGCUGAACUUAAGCAUAUCAAUAAGCGGAGGA
rnacentral:misc_RNA from 1 species